GCUGUAUCGAAUAACUUCGAAUAAUCAAAUUACUCACUCAGUGUACAGUGUUGAUGAAUUAUGUUUCUAUCUAUACAGUUUGAUUAUGGCCAACGACGUUUUAUAAAGAACACGAAACUAUCAACUUACAAACAAGAUAUCGGAUUAUUCAAUAAAUAUUAUAUGAUAUUGCAACGAUCGAAAAUAUACAGUGUUGCAGCUAUAUUUUGCAGUAAUUUCAUUUUUAUAACAGUUUUUUUAUACCCCGACUUGCGUAAAUAUGGAGAUACGUAACUUCUCAUCUUGCCCUUCAUUCACUUGUUUGUUUCACAGUUACAUAGUUCAUAUUUAUGUAUGUACAUAUUUCAUUUGCUGAUUUGUUGAUUAAG
rnacentral:lncRNA from 1 species